rnacentral:tRNA from 1 species
GUAGAGAUGGCUCAGAGGUUAAGAGCACUGGUUGGUUGUUCUUCCAGAGGUCCUGAGUUCAAUUCCCAGCAACCACA